UGUCCUACGGGACGCAGCAGUGGGGAAUAUUGCACAAUGGGGGGAACCCUGAUGCAGCGACGCCGCGUGAGUGAAGAAGUAUUUCGGUAUGUAAAGCUCUGUCAGCAGGGAAGAAGAAAGACGGUACCUGACCAAGAAGCCCCGGCUAACUACGUGCCAGCAGCCGCGGUAAUACGUAGGGGGCAAGCGUUAUCCGGAUUUACUGGGUGUAAAGGGAGCGUAGACGGCAGCGCAAGUCUGGAGUGAAAUGCCGUGGCUCAACCCCGGAACUGCUUUGGAAACUGUGCAGCUAGAGUGCGGGAGAG
rnacentral:rRNA from 1 species